UGGGGAAUUUUGGACAAUGGGCGAAAGCCUGAUCCAGCAAUGCCGCGUGUGUGAAGAAGGCCUUCGGGUUGUAGAGCACUUUUGUCCGGAAAGAAAUCCUCUGGGUUAAUACCUCGGGGGGAUGACGGUACCGGAAGAAUAAGCACCGGCUAACUACGUGCCAGCAGCCGCGGUAAUACGUAGGGUGCAAGCGUUAAUCGGAAUUACUGGGCGUAAAGCGUGCGCAGGCGGUUUUGUAAGACGGAUGUGAAAUCCCCGGGCUUAACCUGGGAACUGCAUUCGUGACUGCAAGGCUAGAGUAUGGCAGAGGGGGGUAGAAUUCCACGUGUAGCAGUGAAAUGCGUAGAGAUGUGGAGGAAUACCGAUGGCGAAGGCAGCCCCCUGGGCCAAUACUGACGCUCAUGCACGAAAGCGUGGGGAGCAAACAGGAUUAGAUACCCUGGUAGUCCACGCCCUAAACGAUGUCAACUAGUUGUUGGGGAUUCAUUUCCUUAGUAACGUAGCUAACGCGUGAAGUUGACCGCCU
rnacentral:rRNA from 1 species